ACGGGAGGCAGCAGUGGGGAGUAUUGCACAAUGGGGGAAACCCUGAUGCAGCGACGCCGCGUGAGUGAAGAAGUAUUUCGGUAUGUAAAGCUCUAUCAGCAGGAAAGAAAAUGACGGUACCUGACUAAGAAGCCCCGGCUAACUACGUGCCAGCAGCCGCGGUAAUACGUAGGGGGCAAGCGUUAUCCGGAUUUACUGGGUGUAAAGGGAGCGUAGACGGCUUUGCAAGUCUGAAGUGAAAGCCCGGGGCUCAACCCCGGAACUGCUUUGGAAACUGUAGAGCUAGAGUGCAGGAGAGGUAAGUGGGAUUCCUAGUGUAGCGGUGAAAUGCGUAGAUAUUAGGAGGAACACCAGUGGCGAAGGCGGCUUACCGGACUGUAACUGACGUUGAGGCUCGAAGGCGUGGGGAGCAAACAGGAUUAGAUACCCUGGUA
rnacentral:rRNA from 1 species